GAUGAAGAAUGCAGCGAAAUGCGAUAAGUUAUGUGAAUUGCAGAAUUCAGUGAAUCAUCGAAUCUUUGAACGCACAUUGCGCCCCCUGGUAUUCCGGGGGGCAUGCCUGUCCGAGCGUCAUUACAACCCUCAAGCUCAGCUUGGUGUUGGGCCCCGCCGCCCCGGCGGGCCCUAAAGUCAGUGGCGGUGCCGUCCGGCUCCGAGCGUAGUAAUUCUUCUCGCUCUGGAGGUCCGGUCGUGUGCUCGCCAGCAACCCCCAAUUUUUUUCAGGUUGACCUCGGAUCAGGUAGGGAUACCCGCUGAACUUAAGCAUAUCAAUAAGCGGAGGA
rnacentral:misc_RNA from 1 species